CUUAAAUUGAAGAGUUUGAUCAUGGCUCAGAUUGAACGCUGGCGGCAGGCCUAACACAUGCAAGUCGAGCGGAAACGAGUUGUCUGAACCUUCG
rnacentral:rRNA from 1 species